rnacentral:rRNA from 1 species
CCUACGGGGGGCAGCAGUGAGGAAUAUUGGUCAAUGGGCGCGAGCCUGAACCAGCCAAGCAGCGUGAAGGAUGACUGCUCUACGGGUUGUAAACUUCUUUUAUAAAGGAAUAAAGUGAGGCACGUGUUCCUUUUUGUAUGUACUUUAUGAAUAAGGAUCGGCUAACUCCGUGCCAGCAGCCGCGGUAAUACGGAGGAUCCGAGCGUUAUCCGGAUUUAUUGGGUUUAAAGGGAGCGUAGAUGGGUUGUUAAGUCAGUUGUGAAAGUUUGCGGCUCAACCGUAAAAUUGCAAUUGAUACUGGCAGUCUUGAGUACAGUUGAGGUGAGCGGAAGUCGUGGUGUAGCGGUGAAAUGCUUAGAUAUAACGAAGAACUCCGAUUGCGAAGGCAGCUCGCUGGACUGCAACUGACACUGAGGCUCGAAAGUGUGGGUAUCAAACAGGAUUAGAUACCCCGGUAGUC